ACGCUGGCGGCGUGCUUAACACAUGCAAGUCGAACGAUGAUGACUGAAGCUUGCUUUGGUUUGAUUAGUGGCGAACGGGUGAGUAACACGUGAGUAACCUGCCCCUCACUUCGGGAUAACCAUUGGAAACGGUGGCUAAUACUGGAUAUGACACAUGGCCGCAUGGUCUGUGUGUGGAAAGAACUUUGGUGGGGGAUGGGCUCGCGGCCUAUCAGCUUGUUGGUGGGGUGAUGGCCUACCAAGGCUUUGACGGGUAGCCGGCCUGAGAGGGCGACCGGCCACACUGGGACUGAGACACGGCCCAGACUCCUACGGGAGGCAGCAGUGGGGAAUAUUGCACAAUGGGGGAAACCCUGAUGCAGCGACGCCGCGUGGGGGAUGAAGGCCUUCGGGUUGUAAACCCCUUUCAGUAGGGAACAAGGCCAUGAUUUUUGUUGUGGUUGAGGGUACUUGCAGAAGAAGCGCCGGCUAACUACGUGCCAGCAGCCGCGGUAAUACGUAGGGCGCAAGCGUUGUCCGGAAUUAUUGGGCGUAAAGAGCUCGUAGGCGGUUUGUCGCGUCUGCCGUGAAAACCCGAUGCUUAACAUCGGGCUUGCGGUGGGUACGGGCAGGCUAGAGUGCGGUAGGGGUGACUGGAAUUCCUGGUGUAGCGGUGGAAUGCGCAGAUAUCAGGAGGAACACCGAUGGCGAAGGCAGGUCACUGGGCCGUUACUGACGCUGAGGAGCGAAAGCAUGGGGAGCGAACAGGAUUAGAUACCCUGGUAGUCCAUGCCGUAAACGUUGGGCACUAGGUGUGGGGAUUGUUCCACGAUUCCUGUACCGUAGCUAACGCAUUAAGUGCCCCGCCUGGGGAGUACGGCCGCAAGGCUAAAACUCAAAGGAAUUGACGGGGGCCCGCACAAGCGGCGGAGCAUGCGGAUUAAUUCGAUGCAACGCGAAGAACCUUACCAAGGCUUGACAUACACCGGAACUGCUCAGAGAUGGGUAGGUCUUCGGACUGGUGUACAGGUGGUGCAUGGUUGUCGUCAGCUCGUGUCGUGAGAUGUUGGGUUAAGUCCCGCAACGAGCG
rnacentral:rRNA from 1 species